GCUCCCUUCGGGGAGUGCAUAGAGUGGCGCACGGGUGAGUAACACGUAAGUAAUCUACCUUUGAGUGGGGAAUAACCCGGGGAAACCCGAGCUAAUACCGCAUAAUGCAGCGGCACCGCAAGGUGACAGUUGUUAAAGGAGCAAUCCGCUUAAAGAGGAGCUUGCGGCAGAUUAGCUAGUUGGUAAGGUAACGGCUUACCAAGGCUACGAUCUGUAUCCGGUCUAAGAGGACGGUCGGACACACUGACACUGAAUAACGGGUCAGACUCCUACGGGAGGCAGCAGUCGGGAAUUUUGGGCAAUGGGGGAAACCCUGACCCAGCAACGCCGCGUGAAGGAUGAAGUAUUUCGGUAUGUAAACUUCGAAAGAAUAGGAAGAAUUAAUGACGGUACUAUUUAUAAGGUCCGGCUAACUACGUGCCAGCAGCCGCGGUAAUACGUAGGGACCAAGCGUUGUUCGGAUUUACUGGGCGUAAAGGGCGCGUAGGCGGCGUGGUAAGUCACUUGUGAAAUCUCUGAGCUUAACUCAGAACGGCCAAGUGAUACUGCUGUGCUAGAGUGCAGAAGGGGCAAUCGGAAUUCUUGGUGUAGCGGUGAAAUGCGUAGAUAUCAAGAGGAACACCUGAGGUGAAGACGGGUUGCUGGGCUGACACUGACGCUGAGGCGCGAAAGCCAGGGGAGCAAACGGGAUUAGAUACCCCGGUAGUCCUGGCCCUAAACGAUGAAUACUUGGUGUCUGGAGUUUUAAUGCUCCGGGUGCCGUCGCUAACGUUUUUAGUAUUCCGCCUGGGGAGUACGCUCGC
rnacentral:rRNA from 1 species